AAGUCGGUGAUGUUGAGGCCGAACCCACUGGGAACUUUGUUGUAGUUCUCACCCCACUAUUUCCACAGAGCCGGGACCGAGCGAGCCGGCGAGCGACCGAGGUAAAGGUAUCGCGCCUUAGUAAGAGGCCACCAAAGUUGGGUACAUUUUGUUAGCAAACACCCUUUUGUCAUCUUUUGUAUUUGAUGAUUAGCAAUGUGAAGAAAAGAAUGUAAAGCUUAUUUUGAGGUAAAUGUGAUGUAAGAAAGAAAUGAUGGAAUUAUAUAAUGAAAUGUAAAGAAUCCUAAAUGUAACAGAUGGAUGCAAUGUAUAUGAUCUAAUAUGAAUCAUACUAUUUGUGUAGAAGUUUAGUUUUCCUAUCUUUCACUAAUGGCUACUGCUUACCCUCGUGUAAGCCGUUUGUGUAUGUUUCCGCUAGUGCAAUUUUUGUUUGAAUUUUGUACAUGUGAUGUAACACACUGGACCUUUGCAAAUUGCGAGGUUCGAGUGUUUGGAUGUAUUCCGAACUUUUCCACACUUGGUGGAGGGCCGUCAAUGGUAUACCGGUCUAAAAGUUCGAUCUCGAGAGUUUCGGCUGAGUCCUGAGAGUUUUACUCUCGGAGACCGGUCCCUGAUAGGAGAGACCGGUCCCCCUGUGAACAGUGCUGCGUAGCCGGCGAGGCAACCGGUCCCUGGCAGUCGAGACCGGUUCCCGAGCGCGUUCUCGCAGUGAGAGACCGGUCCCGCGCAGGGAGAGACCGGUUCCCGAACGCUGGUUUUCGGGUUCGCAGCGAGAGACCUGUCACGCCCCGAGCCCGCCUCUUUGGUCGGAUUCGGGCACGCCAACAGACCGCCGAACGGACAGGGUUUCCCCUGCACGCGGACAGAGUCUCCCCUGUACGUUCAAGGCGUCGCAAUCAAUACAAUUACAAGAGGUUCCAAACAGGAACAAUUAUCAACAACGAUUGCAUAAGGAAGGUAUCAAACAACAUAACACAUCCUAUAUUAUUACAAUCAUUCAUCUCAUCAUUUUACAUCGCAUUUUUCAUUACAUUGAUUCUCAACUUUCAAAUAUACAAUCGAUUUCUAAACAUAACAUUACAACAUCGAUUCUUUUCUUUUCUUUUCUUAUACCCCUAAGAAGCCGACUCAGGGUGCUGCUAUCUGGUCUCUGUGGUAGGGCGCUAACUACGGAGCUACGCCCUUUCCUCGCGCCGCCGCGCCGCUCGCGUGUGAACCUGUACCCCCAAAAACAACAACACGGGGGUGAGACUAUUGUCCAUAGUCGUCAGUGGGUACAGCCACCCAAGUGAAAAGCUCAACCCACCAGGUCCAAAGGAGGCACUGCAACAUGUUAGUCCAACAGAUAUAUAUAUAUAUAUAUA
rnacentral:lncRNA from 1 species